AGGAUAAACGCUGGCGGCGUGCCUAACACAUGCAAGUCGAGCGCCCGUAGCAAUACGGGAGCGGCAGACGGGAUAGUAACACGUGGGAACGCGCCCUUCGGUUCGGAAUAACUCAGGGAAACUUGAGCUAAAUACCGGAUACGCCCUUACGGGGAAAGAUUUAUUGCCGAAGGAACGGCCCGCGUCCGAUUAGCUAGUUGGUGAGGUAAUGGCUCACCAAGGCGACGAUCGGUAGCUGGUCUGAGAGGAUGACCAGCAUCACUGGGACUGAGACACGGCCCAGACUCCUACGGGAGGCAGCAGUGGGGAAUAUUGGACAAUGGGCGCAAGCCUGAUCCAGCCAUGCCGCGUGGAUGAUGAAGGCCUUAGGGUUGUAAAGUCCUUUUAACGGGGAAGAUAAUGACGGUACCGUAGAAUAAGCCCGGCUAACUUCGUGCCAGCAGCCGC
rnacentral:rRNA from 1 species